GGAGAGCGCGUUUACCCCCCCCGCGGGUCGGGGCCGUCAGCGCCUCACAGGGAGCGGGGGGAGCGGGUCACCCGCGCCGCGGGACGGUCCCGGCAGUGCAUCACCCGCACCGGGGGGAACGCAUCGUCUACACCGCAGGACGGUCCCGUCAGUGCCUCACACGGACCGGGGGGAGCGACCCACCCGCACCGAGUGCGCUCCCCGAAGCGCUUCACCCGCGCCGGGUGCGGUCCCCUCACCGCCUCGCCUCAGCCCGCUGGAAUCGUUCCCCUCAGCGCCUCACCCGCACCGAGGGGCGCUCCCCUCAGCGCCUCACCUCACGUCCCCCGGAAUGCCCCCUCAGCGCCUUGUCCCGCUCCCCCAGGGUCGCCCCCCGGGGGUUUCGCCCCCUCACGCAAUGGCCGCUCCCCUCAGCUCCCCAUCUCCCGCCACCGCUUCCUCAGCCCCAGAGCUGCUCCCUCAGCCCCUCACCCCGAGGGAGGGUGAGGCCACCAUUCCCCUAAGGGUUUCACUCUUCAGCUUCACCCACUUGGCCAGUAAAGCCCUUCUGAAUAGACCCUUUUCCCUCUUGGUCCCUCACGUUCCCCACAGGGUUGUUUCUCCCCUCCUGCACCUCUGCUCACCCGUAUUUUGUCUGCUCCCCCAUAGAAUAAUCUCCCUUUCUCCAUGCCUUGUCCCUCUCUGUCACCUCCUCACGGGAAUCCUGUCACCUCUCAAGCAGCUUUUUCCCAAAGGACUUGUGAGUGAACAGACACAACACAGAGAACAAGGGCUGCAGGUGGACCCUGAUCCUCCCAUGGAAGCCCUGCGAGGAUUCAGAGGAGAGGGAGUGCUGAGAUUUGAAGAUUUUAUAGCAGCCUUUCAUGGAGGGAAGGAUCUAAAUGCUACCCAUCAGUGA
rnacentral:lncRNA from 1 species